rnacentral:misc_RNA from 1 species
AAGUCGUAGCAAGGUUUCCGUAGGUGAACCUGCGGAAGGAUCAUUACAAAUAAAGCCGGUAGGAGGUGGGGUCUUGAUCUGUAAGUGGUAGAGCGAACAGUCCGGCAUGCCUUCCCCGAAAUGUCCUUCACAUAGCCCCCCACGCCUUGAAGGCCGAAAUUACAACCCUUCCGAUUAUCUACACUUGUUGCUUUGGGGUGCUCAAGUGCCCCAGAGGACCCAAAUCUCUUGCAUUUAGUGACGUCUGAGUACUAUAUAAUAUUUAAAA